rnacentral:rRNA from 1 species
UACAGAGGUGGCAAGCGUUGUUCGGAAUUACUGGGCGUAAAGGGCGCGUAGGCGGCCUUCUAAGUCAGACGUGAAAUCCCCCGGCUUAACCUGGGAACUGCGUCUGAUACUGGGAGGCUAGAGUGCGGGAGAGGGAUGCGGAAUUCCAGGUGUAGCGGUGGAAUGCGUAGAGAUCCGGAGGAAGACCGGUGGCGAAGGCGGUCUGCUGGGCAGUUUCUGACACUGAGGCGCGACAGCGUGGGGAGCAAACAGG